rfam:Triticum aestivum genome assembly, contig: Triticum_aestivum_CS42_TGACv1_scaffold_050231_1BS
UAGAUACUCCCUCCGCCCGGAAAUACUCGUAGGAGAAAUGAAUGUAUCUAGACGUAUUUUAAUUUUAAAUACAUCCACUUUUAUCAAUUUCUCCGACAAGUAUUUUCGGACGAGGGGAGUACAUC